UGGGGAAUCUUGGACAAUGGGCGCAAGCCUGAUCCAGCCAUGCCGCGUGGGUGAAGAAGGCCUUAGGGUUGUAAAGCCCUUUCAGUCGUGACGAUGAUGACGGUAGCGACAGAAGAAGCCCCGGCUAACUCCGUGCCAGCAGCCGCGGUAAUACGGAGGGGGCAAGCGUUGUUCGGAUUUACUGGGCGUAAAGGGCGCGUAGGCGGGCGAUCAAGUCAGAGGUGAAAGGCCUGGGCUCAACCUGGGACGUGCCUUUGAAACUGGGCGGCUAGAGAUCGGAAGAGGAGGGUGGAAUACCCAGUGUAGAGGUGAAAUUCGUAGAUAUUGGGUGGAACACCAGUGGCGAAAGCGGCUCUCUGGUCCGGAUCUGACGCUGAGGCGCGAAAGCGUGGGGAGCAAACAGGAUUAGAUACCCGCGUAGUCC
rnacentral:rRNA from 1 species